GACGAACGCUGGCGGCGUGCUUAACACAUGCAAGUCGAACGGAAAGGCCCUGCUUUUGUGGGGUGCUCGAGUGGCGAACGGGUGAGUAACACGUGAGUAACCUGCCCUUGACUUUGGGAUAACUUCAGGAAACUGGGGCUAAUACCGGAUAGGAGCUCCUGCUGCAUGGUGGGGGUUGGAAAGUUUCGGCGGUUGGGGAUGGACUCGCGGCUUAUCAGCUUGUUGGUGGGGUAGUGGCUUACCAAGGCUUUGACGGGUAGCCGGCCUGAGAGGGUGACCGGAAGGAGUGGGGGGGAGAUACGGCGCAGAAGGGUACGCGCGGGAGCGGAGGGGGAGAGGGUGUAGUGGGUGGAAGAGAGAGGAAGCAAGGGGGGGGGGGGGAGGGAGGCCAGGGGGUGGGAAAGAAAGGGAGCAGGGGACGAAGCGGGAGGGACGGGAAUGGGUAAAGAAGCAAAGGCGAAAGACGGG
rnacentral:rRNA from 1 species